rnacentral:lncRNA from 1 species
CCAUUCGAUCCUCCUUUUGUUAGCGCUCCGGCUUCUUCCAGGUCUCACCUGCUCCAGUGCGAUCCGGCGCCAUCGCGCUUUGGGCGAGCAUGGCCAUCGGGAGUAGCGAGGUGGGGACCGAGCUGACGCCUGCCUGGCCCUGGCGAUGGUGGCGCGCGCCGGGGAAGGACUGAUUGGAGCAUGGCGCCAAAUGGGUCACGGAUGGCGAGGGGGCGCAGGAGCUCUCGGUGUGACCUGGCGCUGUGGAUGUGAUACACAGUAGCCUGAGUGACGCUGCUCUGCUGUCCUAAGGAGAGAACCCUUUUUCUGAAGAUGGGAGGUGGCUAGUGAAGGAGGUAAGGUCUCGGGCCCUUGCUGUGCUCCUGUGCGGUGGGAGCUGCACUGAUACGGAAACUUAGGGCAGGCAGUUUUGCUGGAGGUUAGGAAUGGGGCCUC